rnacentral:rRNA from 1 species
CGUUCCCGGGCCUUGUACACACCGCCCGUCACACCAUGGGAGUUGGUUUUACCUGAAGACGGUGUUCUAACCCGCAAGGGAGAAAGCCGGCCACGGUAAGGUCAGCGACUGGGGUG